UUAAUACAUUCAUUUUUUAGGCUUUGUUUGAGCAAUUAUUCCAAUUUCUAUUUUAUUGUUGCAUUAAAAACGACAAUAGUUGAAACUCGUUUUUUGGUUUCAAAACUCACUCAAGAAAUCCUGAAAAUUAAUGUCGCUUAUUUGACAUUAUUAAAGAAAAAACCGACACCAUUAAAAAAAUGGCAUCGUUUAUUCUUCUAUUGGAGUUGACGGGGUUUAAAAUGAAAUAUGAGGCACGGAGGGUGAGUGUAGAUGGAUUGAUUGAUGAGGAUCUGUUUUUAUUUUUGAAAAAAUAGAGGUUUCAAGUAGUUUAAAUGUUUUAUAUAUAUAAAUUAAAAAUAUAUAUGAAUUUUGGGUCAAAUAAAUCUCCCAGAACAGCUGUUGCGGAUGUUUGUAUUAGAAUCGAGGCCGUUUUUAAAAACAAGACCGAUCAACUUCAUACAACCAGUUAUACAGGAAACACAACAUCCUCCAUUUGGCUUUUCAAAGGGGUUUGGCUUUAGCCCAGGAGUCUUCUAAGGGUCGAAUUCACUUGUACCGAACCGCUUUGAUAGAUAAAACGUGACGCCGGUUAGGAUCAACAAGGAGGAGGAUCGGAAGUAAACAAAGCAAGUUAAUGGCCACUUAAAAAUCCACUGCCUCGGUAGGCAGACCGCUUUUGUGUUCCGUACGGUCAACCACUGUUCUAUUUUCCCUAUUUUCCCCCUCUAAUCUAUGAAAAGGAAUAAAGAACCACUUUAAA